CCAUUAUACUCAUAGAUAUCUUAUUUACGCUAGAUAGCGCAUCUCUUUUAGUAAAAUUGAAGCCAAGAAUAUUCCAGCGGUUACUCCCAUUUGAAUAGAUGGCGGCCAUGUUGGGAGUUCCCACUCGCUAAUAAACGCUUAAAAAACAACAAUAACCUUCAUCAUUUGAAUAGUUUAUAAAUGUAUUUGGAAUAGAUUUAACUUAAUGUUUAAGUUACCUGUUUAA